GUCUUUUUGUAUUUAAUAUAAAGUCUAACCUGCCCAUUGAAAUAAAGUUUAAAAGGCUGCGGUAUAUUGACCGUACAAAGGUAGCAUAAUCAUUAGUUUUUUAAUUGAAAACUUGUAUGAAUGGUUGAAUGAGAAAUUAACUUUUUUAUUUAAAAUAUUGAAUUUUAAUUUUUAGUUAAAAUGCUAAAAUAAGUUUAAAAGACGAGAAGACCCUAUAGAGUUUAAUAGCCUAUUUAUAUUAUUAUAAAUGUUUAUAUAUAUUAAUAUAAAGAAAGCUAUUUUGUUGGGGUGAUAAUAAAAUUUAAUUAACUUUUAUUAGUGUUGUACAUUAAUAUAUGAAUAUUUGAUCCAGUUUUAUUGAUUAAAAAUUUAAAUUACCUUAGGGAUAACAGCGUAAUUUUUUUUUAAGUUCUUAUUAAUAAAAUAUUUUGCGACCUCGAUGUUGGAUUAAGAUUAAAUUUUAGGUGCAGCAGCUUAAACUUUUAAGUCUGUUCGACUUUUAAAUUCUU
rnacentral:rRNA from 1 species